GUACAACAUAGGUAUUUGCCUUCAAGUGGGGGACAACUUGAGGAAACUCAAGCUAAUACCGCAUAUUCCUUACGAGGGAAAGCGUGGGCUCUUCGGACCACGCGCUUGAAGAGAAGCCUAUGCCGGAUUAGCUUGUUGGUAGGGUAAAGGCCUACCAAGGCGAUGAUCCGUAGCUGGUCUGAGAGGAUGAUCAGCCACACUGGGACUGAGACACGGCCCAGACUCC
rnacentral:rRNA from 1 species